rnacentral:rRNA from 1 species
AUUCGAUGCACGCGAAAAACCUUACCCACCUUUGACMUGUACGGAAUUUGCCAGAGAUGGCUUAGUGCUCGAAAGAGAACCGUAACACAGGUGCUGCAUGGCUGUCGUCAGCUCGUGUCGUGAGAUGUUGGGUUAAGUCCCGCAACGAGCGCAACCCUUGUCAUUAGUUGCUACAUUUAGUUGGGCACUCUAAUGAGACUGCCGGUGACAAACCGGAGGAAGGUGGGGAUGACGUCAAGUCCUCAUGGCCCUUAUAGGUGGGGCUACACACGUCAUACAAUGGCUGGUACAAAGGGUUGCCAACCCGCGAGGGGGAGCUAAUCCCAUAAAACCAGUCGUAGUCCGGAUCGCAGUCUGCAACUCGACUGCGUGAAGUCGGGAAUCGCCUAGUAAUCGUGGAUCAAAAUGUCACGGUGAAAUACGUUUCCCGGGUCUUUGUACACACCGCCCGUUCACACCAUGGGAAGCGGGUUUCUGCCCAAAAAGUAAGUUAAGCCCUAACCGCCAAGGAGGGGCCGAUUUACCACCGGCCAGGGUUUCGUGAACUUGGGGGGUUGAAAGUUCGUUAAACCAAA